rnacentral:tRNA from 1 species
GCCUGGGUGGCUCAGUCAGUUGGGCAUCUGACUUCAGCUCAGGUCAUGAUCUCAUAGUCUGUGAGUUCGAGCCCCGCGUCAGGCU